rnacentral:rRNA from 1 species
UACGGAGGGAGCUAGCGUUGUUCGGAAUUACUGGGCGUAAAGCGCGCGUAGGCGGCUUUGUAAGUUAGAGGUGAAAGCCCGGGGCUCAACCCCGGAACUGCCUUUAAAACUGCAUCGCUUGAAUCCAGGAGAGGUGAGUGGAAUUCCGAGUGUAGAGGUGAAAUUCGUAGAUAUUCGCAAGAACACCAGUGGCGAAGGCGGCUCACUGGCCCGAUACUGACGCUGAGGCACGAAAGCGUGGGGAGCAAACAGG